rnacentral:rRNA from 1 species
UACGUAGGUCCCGAGCGUUGUCCGGAAUUACUGGGUGUAAAGGGUGCGUAGGCGGCCGGGUAAGUCUGAUGUGAAAUCCCGCAGCUCAACUGCGGAACUGCAUCGGAUACUCUCCGGCUAGAGGAAUGGAGGGGAGACUGGAAUUCUCGGUGUAGCAGUGAAAUGCGUAGAUAUCGAGAGGAACACCAGUGGCGAAGGCGAGUCUCUGGACAUUUCCUAACGCUGAGGCACGAAAGCCAGGGGAGCAAACGGG